UUCCGGUUCUGCCGGAAGUUCUGCCCGCGCGGGACAGGAAGUUCCUCCCCUCUCCUGAACGCCAUCGACCUCACGCCGCCACGCAGAGAGAGUCCAAGAAGGCAGCCAACUACAAAACAGGAAGAGGGCCUACACUAGAACUUGAUCAUGCUGGCACUCUGAUCUCUGACUUUACAACCUCCAGAACUGUGAGAACAGAGCAACUGGGGAACCUAAUUCUGACCAACAAGGAGGAAUUGCUUGGCUAAUUGGAAGUGACAGAAACCUUGGGAGAAAGCAACCACAUACCAAGGAUAAUUAUAAGAAGGUAAUAUGGGCCCUAAAGGAUAGUGUCAAGAAACCUGAAGCCCCCAAAUGAGAAAGCUCCUGGAGGCUGAGUUCUACCAAAAUGAGGGAGCAAACAAGAAAUAGAAGAUAUGGCAAAACAGAAGCAGUAUGUUUAACCUAAGAAAGAGGCGAAGAAAGCUACCAAGGGUUCUAAAGCUGCAAAGAAAUGAAUUCUGCCAACAAAUGCAUGAAUUUAGAAGUGAACCCUGAGAAGACCCCAGUCCUUGCCAACUCCUUGAAUGCAGCCUUCUGAGACCCUAAACGGAAGAUCCAGCAAGAAGGCCCUAACCAGAUGCAUCCCUUCAAUCUUGGACUUCCCAGCCUUCAGUGAGCCAAAUAAACUUCUAUUGAUUAUAAAUUACCUUGUC